rnacentral:rRNA from 1 species
UGGUUUGUCGCGUUGUUCGUGAAAUCUCACGGCUUAACUGUGAGCGUGCGGGCGAUACGGGCAGACUUGAGUACUGCAGGGGAGACUGGAAUUCCUGGUGUAGCGGUGGAAUGCGCAGAUAUCAGGAGGAACACCGGUGGCGAAGGCGGGUCUCUGGGCAGUAACUGACGCUGAGGAGCGAAAGCGUGGGGAGCGAACAGGAUUAGAUACCCUGGUAGUCCACGCCGUAAACGGUGGGUACUAGGUGUGGGUUUCCUUCCUUGGGAUCCGUGCCGUAGCUAACGCAUUAAGUACCCCGCCUGGGGAGUACGGCCGCAAGGCUAAAACUCAAAGAAAUUGACGGGGGCCCGCACAAGCGGCGGAGCAUGUGGAUUAAUUCGAUGCAACGCGAAGAACCUUACCUGGGUUUGACAUGCACAGGACGCCGGCAGAGAUGUCGGUUCCCUUGUGGCCUGUGUGCAGGUGGUGCAUGGCUGUCGUCAGCUCGUGUCGUGAGAUGUUGGGUUAAGUCCCGCAACGAGCGCAACCCUUGUCUCAUGUUGCCAGCGGGUAAUGCCGGGGACUCGUGAGAGACUGCCGGGGUCAACUCGGAGGAAGGUGGGGAUGACGUCAAGUCAUCAUGCCCCUUAUGUCCAGGGCUUCACACAUGCUACAAUGGCCGGUACAAAGGGCUGCGAUGCCGCGAGGUUAAGCGAAUCCUUUUAAAGCCGGUCUCAGUUCGGAUCGGGGUCUGCAACUCGACCCCGGAAGUCGGAGUCGCU